GGCACGCUGAGGCACUGUGCACUCUGAACAGCUGACCAUGCAGGAACUAGGGGGAACAGAGGGGGAACCUGCUGAUUUACACUGGUAUGUCCAACCAGCCCCACAACUGCAAACCACAUGUAACCAUGCCAGUCCAGGACCUACACAUCCAGCUUCUUUACCUGCGGGAUCAUCUGAGACCAGCUACCCGGACAGCUAAUGAAACUGAGAACCUAUGGGUUUUCCUGUUAUCAACCUAUUGCCUGAUCUCCCGGACAACGUUUCCCUGCCUGUACUGUUGCCUUUUUGGACCCCCUGUGUAUGACCUUCUGGCUGUCCCUGGACCCAGCUACCUUCCUCCUACUGUGGUCCUUUACAAAUAAAAACCUGGUGCACCCUGCACUUGAAACCAG